rnacentral:lncRNA from 1 species
AAACAAAAUUACAAAACACAACAAAAGAAAUAAUCUACUUACCGGUUUCUGUCCUUCUUCAAAAGUCAGGAAUACGACAGUUGGUAUCCAUUCGUUUGAUGUGUUUGAGAUUUUGAUAAUGUCAUUUGAUUAGGGACUUGCCUUUUGAAUUUUCCUCGGAGUUCAAUAUUUUUGUAAUUCUUCUUUUUCCUUGGUACCUUCCGCCUCUGUUUUUCACAAAAAAAUAAACGUCUUUCUCAUAUUGAGG